CUGAGUACGGCGGAACACGUGAAAUUCCGUCGGAAUCCGGGAGGACCAUCUCCCAAGGCUAAAUACUCCCUAGUGACCGAUAGUGAACCAGUACCGUGAGGGAAAGGUGAAAAGCACCCCGGAAGGGGAGUGAAACAGUUCCUGAAACCGUGUGCCUACAAGUAGUUAGAGCCCGUUAAUGGGUGAUAGCGUGCCUUUUGUAGAAUGAACCGGCGAGUUACGAUUUGUUGCAAGGUUAAGCGGAAAAAGCGGAGCCGUAGCGAAAGCGAGUCUGAAUAGGGCGCAUAAGUAACAGGUCGUAGACCCGAAACCAGGUGAUCUACCCAUGUCCAGGAUGAAGGUAAGGUAAUACUUACUGGAGGUCCGAACCCACGCACGUUGAAAAGUGCGGGGAUGAGGUGUGGGUAGCGGAGAAAUUCCAAUCGAACUUGGAGAUAGCUGGUUCUCUCCGAAAUAGCUUUAGGGCUAGCCUCGAGGUAAAGAGUCAUGGAGGUAGAGCACUGUUUGGACUAGGGGCCCUUCUCGGGUUACCGAAUUCAGAUAAACUCCGAAUGCCAUGUACUUAUACUCGGGAGUCAGACUGCGAGUGAUAAGAUCCGUAGUCGAAAGGGAAACAGCCCAGACCACCAGUUAAGGUCCCCAAAUAUAUGU
rnacentral:rRNA from 1 species